rnacentral:rRNA from 1 species
UACGAAGGGGCUAGCGUUGCUCGGAAUCACUGGGCGUAAAGGGUGCGUAGGCGGGUCUUUAAGUCAGGGUGAAAUCCUGGAGCUCAACUCCAGAACUGCCUUUGAUACUGAAGAUCUUGAGUUCGGAGAGGUGAGUGGAACUGCGAGUGUAGAGGUGAAAUUCGUAGAUAUUCGCAAGAACACCAGUGGCGAAGGCGGCUCACUGGCCCGAUACUGACGCUGAGGCACGAAGCGUGGG